GAGCGAUUUCGAUUUCGAUUUCGAAGAUCCAAAACACCAUUUGCACCGUUGUCUACUAAGGGCCGUGAAUCAUUCGUUUCAUAUGAAAGUCUUGAGCAGCUUCACCGUUUCUUGUUUGUUCUUGGUGUUACCCAUGUAUCAUAUAGCUUUUUUGCCAUUGCCUUUGCCAUGAUCAAAAUUUAUAGCUGGAGAACAUGGGAAAAUCAAGCGAAGUCGAUGGCUCCGCAGGAACUAAAAGGUGCGAAAAGUUUUAUAGGGGUGAUUUUGUUCUUCUCCUUUUUGAAGUACCCUUUAUCUUUUAAGAGUUUAGUUCAGAUGUUCUUCAUUAGAAAAUUUCUAUCAUGCCAUAUUGAAAUUUUAAUCUAGGUUCCCCGCAAUCUGCCUCAAACCACACAAAAAUGAGGCGACUAUCAACUUUCAUUUUUCACCACACAUCCCAUCCAUGGAGCCAGCAUAGAGUUCUUGCUUAGGUGGUAAUGCACCUUUUUAAAUUAUUGUGUCUUUGCGAUGUUAAAAUGUGUCAUUUUUGUUGUUGUUGUUAUUUAUCUAUUCAAUUGGGAAAUGAAUUUGCUGGUAUACUACUAAACAUCCUAAAAAUGUGAAAAUGCAGCUCAAGUAAUGAUUAGCUGAGGGUCUUACUUGAACAUGCUUCCAGUUGCUUUGGGGUGGUAAAAUGAAUAUGAAGCCUAAGAGAAGUUGUAGCUGCUGAAAGACGACCUAGGGCAUUCAAUAUGAAAGGAUAAAAAGGGCUUCUUGUUGUAAAUAUGAUCAUAUUUCUUGAGAAGGAAAAGUAAAUGCAUUUUGUUAGGUACUGAUGGUCACAAAUGGUUUAGAUGAUUAGAUAAGAAAGAUUAGUGUACCAUGCGGAUAAAAUCAUCAAAAAAUAAUUAGGAUAUGGUUUGUGGUUCCCUUGAACUUGAAUGGCUCCAUAGGCUUGUUAGAUAAAAUUUAAAUAAAGAAUUUUAUCUUCUUGAAUAGAACCCUAGGGG